UCGAUCUUAUUUGCUUUACCGGAAAAGAAAAAAAACAUUUGGGGACAAGCUGUGAUUAAUUAGUGAUCUUUUUGAUUGGCUUUUAUAUAUUGUUUAUAAUCAACAUGCAUUUAUGCAGAGUGGAUUUAGAUUAUGGCAGCACUCACAGUUCUUAUUUUAGUAUCCGUUUGAUAAUCUCAAACCAUUUUAUGGCUCCACUUUUUCUAAUUUUUGGUUGUACACAAUGAGACAUGGUAGUUAAUUAACUGUUAUAAUUGUCUGUUGGAUCAUUGUAUGGAAUUGAUCAAAGGUCUUUUGCUGUUAUUAGCUGAGUUGAUUGAAUGAGUUGCGAGAAAAAGAUUGGUAGAAUAAGAUUAGUGUUUCUGUCUUAGUUCGAUGAGAUCAAGUUAGAUAUUUUCUGCUAAAAAGACAAUUCUUUUUGUUUUUCUUUUUAAAUAGAUAGGGUGUUGUGUUUAGAUUCAUCAAAUGUAGGUUCUUUUGGGUAAGUAAAACUCCUUUGCUGACAAAGUCAGAUAUCACCAGAUAUUUGAGGGAUUGUGAAUAUGAAACAAACUUAGUCCUCUGCUGCAUCUUCUUCUGCUUUACCAAGCCUUUUCUCUACUCUUUUCCCAGCUUUCCAUCACCUGGGUAUGUACCUUCCACUAUAAAUAAUUGCUUCACAGGCAGCUGGACCUUUAUUUCAAAAUUUCAUUUCUAUUUGAACAUUAUGUCCACAUUAAGAAAGGGGGAGUUCUAAGAGAGAAAAUAUUGAUUACUGUUAUGCUUCAUUGAUAUGAUUGCCCUCUUAUUUGUGGUUUCUGCUUCAGACCGGUUUUCCUUAUACUUUCAACUGAAUUCAUAGACUCUUUUUUUGCAUGUUCAUGAUCUUCAUAGCUAUAGUUUGUGUUCGAUAUGAAUUAUAUGAUAGAUUUCUAUUCUUAAAAGCUGUAUGCUUAAUUUUUCUCUUUGUCAAUUGCAUCAUUUAUUCUUCUUUGUAUGAUAUCCUUAUUUCUACUUUUUAUUGUAUUGCAGUUCUGUUAGCAAGAAGAAAUAGGUGUCAAGUGCUGGGUAUGGUCACAAUCGGAACUGUUCAAAGGUGCAAUCAUCCAUCUUUGGGGCUUCUAUCUCAACCUGGUCGUCUUUACAUUUCAGCAUAUGCAGUGAAAAAUUCUAUGCAAACUCUGAAGGCAAGUGAUUGGCAUCUUGAAGGAGCUAGGAGCAUUUAAUAUAUUCUACAGCAAAGCCACGGGAGGAGAAG